AUUUUUGUGGAUAAAUUUAAUAUAGAAGAUUGCCGAGAUACAAAAACCGCUACUGUAUAUUUACAAUCACUCGACGAGGCAUACAAUGUCGCCGACGGUAUAUAUAGCAAAGGUUUCAAAUUCACACAGAUAGCAACAAAAUAUAAGCUGAUGUAUGCUUGCAGAGUACAGAGUAAAAGACUUGCAAAUGUAUAUUUACCUGAUGAAAAUAUUGGGGACGAA
rnacentral:lncRNA from 1 species